rnacentral:rRNA from 1 species
AUUGAACGCUGGCGGCAGGCCUAACACAUGCAAGUCGAACGAGUGGCGGACGGGUGAGUAAUGUCUGGGAAAAUGCCUGAUGGAGGGGGAUAACUAAUGGAAACGGUAGCUAAUACCGCAUACCAUCGGAUGUGCCAAGAUGGGAUUAGCUAGUAGGUGGGGUAAAGGCUCACCUAGGCGACGAUCCCUAGCUGGUCUGAGAGGAUGACCAGCCACACUGGAACUGAGCCACGGUCCAGACUCCUCCGUGAUGCAGCAGUGGGGAUUAUUGCACAAGUGGCGCAAGCCUGAUGCAGCCAUGCCGCGUGUAUGAAGAAGUCCUUCGGGUUGUAAAUUACUUUCAGCGGGGAGGCGUUACCCGCAGAAGAAGCACCGGCUAACUCCGUGCCAGCCGCCGCGGUAAUAC